rnacentral:lncRNA from 1 species
UCUUUGCACCGGGCAGAGUGACGAGCUUCGCCGGUGUCUUCAUUGAAGUCCUGUUGGUCCCUACCGGCACAUCACACACUCCUGGAAGCAUGAUCUUCACUCCCUUCCUUCCACCUGCUGACCUGGGGAGGAUACCGGGCACUCGGAAUCUGAGACCACCGGAGCCACAGACACAGGCGUGAACGGUGACCGAGCCCCCUCUGAUGCUCCAUGCCCCUGCUCGCCCCAGUGUCCCGGUCACCGGGCCUGAAAUAAAUGCUGGCACGCUUGACUGUUUUUGCUUUGUGGCAUUUGAUGUAACUUUCAACACGUCGGCUGAACUGGGGGUGGUCAGCUUUGGUGGUGGUGGGGUUGUGAAGGGAGAGAGCUAGCAUCUUCCUUAGCCCUGUUAGGCUGUCUGCCCUCCUCGAGGCAGCGCUGCUUGUUACUAGGUCCUGGUGGCGAUGGGCUGUAGCCAAUCAACGGUGAGUUUUCCACGGCUCUCAGCUCUGACCCUGGCGGGGCACUUACAUGCAGGAAUGAGGACGGAAUAACAUCUCACAUGCAGGAAUGAGGACGGAAUAACAUCUCUCUUACCCCCAGCAAUGCACACAGUCUUCAUAUCUGAGGAAAACUGGGCGGUGUUUAUAUGCGGAGGCGAGAGGGUCAUGUGGAGGAAGAAUCUGUGGACCUCAGAAAAGGCGUUAACCCCUGUACUGACAAAGAGCUCCCAAGCCCCGCCUACUCCACCACAAGACAGAGACCCCUUCCAACAGACGGCCUUGUCUCCAACUAUGCAUUGUUCC